AAGAAAGUAAGAAAGGGCGUAUGGCGGAUGCCUAGGCUCACGGAGGCGAUGAAGGACGUGAUAAGCUGCGAUAAGCUUCGGGUAGGUGCAAAUAACCCUUGAUCCGAAGAUUUCCGAAUGGGACAACCUAGCCGUCUGAAGGACGGUUACUCUUACCAGUGUAAGAGAGCUAACGCAGGGAACUGAAACAUCUUAGUACCUGCAGGAAGAGAAAAUAAAUGAAUGAUUCCCCCAGUAGUGGCGAGCGAACGGGGAACAGCCCAAACCAGUGGCGUCGCAAGGCGUGGCUGGGGUUGUAGGACCGCGACAUUGUACUGAAAUGGUGAGUGGAAGUAUCUGGAAAGUUACAUCACAGAAGGUGAUAAUCCUGUACACGAAGCCAGAUCAGGCAUAGCGGUAUCCUGAGUAACGCGGGACACGAGGAAUCCUGCGCGAAUCUGCCGGGACCAUCCGGUAAGGCUAAAUACUCCCGUGAGACCGAUAGCGAACGAGUACUGUGAAGGAAAGGUGAAAAGAACCCCGAGCAGGGGAGUGAAAUAGUUCCUGAAACCAUACGCCUACAAGCGGUCGGAGCACAGCAAUGUGUGACGGCGUGCCUUUUGCAUAAUGAUCCUACGAGUUACCGUCACUGGCGAGGUUGAGUGUCAUGAGACACGUAGCCGCAGUGAAAGCGAGCCUGAAGAGGGCGCACAGUCAGUGGGGGUAGACGCGAAACCAAGUGAUCUACACUUGGCCAGGAUGAAGUCCCGGUAACACGGGAUGGAGGU
rnacentral:rRNA from 1 species